rnacentral:rRNA from 1 species
AUUGAACGCUGGCGGCAUGCUUUACACAUGCAAGUCGAACGGUAACAGGUUAAGCUGACGAGUGGCGAACGGGUGAGUAAUGCAUCGGAACGUGCCCGGUCGUGGGGGAUAACGCAGCGAAAGCUGCGCUAAUACCGCAUACGAUCUGAGGAUGAAAGCGGGGGACCGUAAGGCCUCGCGCGAUCGGGGCGGCCGAUGUCAGAUUAGGUAGUUGGUGGGGUAAAGGCUCACCAAGCCAACGAUCUGUAGCUGGUCUGAGAGGACGACCAGCCACACUGGGACUGAGACACGGCCCAGACUCCUACGGGAGGCAGCAGUGGGGAACUUUGGACAAUGGGCGAAAGCCUGAUCCAGCAAUGCCGCGUGCAGGAAGAAGGCCUUCGGGUUGUAAACUGCUUUUGUACGGAGCGAAAAGGUCUCCUCUAAUACAGGGGGCUCAUGACGGUACCGUAAGAAUAAGCACCGGCUAACUACGUGCCAGCCGCCGCGGUAA